GACAGAGUUGAGUGACAUCCACUAUCCCUUGGUUGAGCGACAUCCCAGAUGACGUUCUUGAUAAUUGGUCAAAACUUCCAAUCUACGACGAGUAUCUAGAAGAGAAGGAACCAAUCUACAAUGAAUAUUUACCAAUCUUUGAUAAUGUAGAAA